rnacentral:rRNA from 1 species
GACGAACGCUGGCGGCGUGCUUAACACAUGCAAGUCGAACGGAAAGGCCCUGCUUUUGUGGGGUGCUCGAGUGGCGAACGGGUGAGUAACACGUGAGUAACCUGCCCUUGACUUUGGGAUAACUUCAGGAAACUGGGGCUAAUACCGGAUAGGAGCUCCUGCUGCAUGGUGGGGGUUGGAAAGUUUCGGCGGUUGGGGAUGUACUCGCGGCUUAUCAGCUUGUUGGUGGGGUAGUGGCUUACCAAGGCUUUGACGGGUAGCCGGCCUGAGAGGGGGAACGGGGACAUGGGGACUGAGGUACGGCCCAGACUGCUACGGUGGGCAGCAGUGGGGAACAUGGCACAAUGGGGGGAAGCCUGAGGAAGCAGCGCCGCGUGUGGGAUGACGGCCUUCGGGUGGGAAACCGCUUUCGCCUGUGACGAAGCGGGAGUGACGGUAAUGGGUAAAGAAGCACCGGCUAACUACGUG